UACGUAGGGGGCUAGCGUUGUUCGGAAUCACUGGGCGUAAAGCGCACGUAGGCGGAUGUGCCAGUCAGGGGUGAAAUCCCGGAGCUCAACUUCGGAACUGCCUCUGAUACAGCACGUCUUGAGUCCGGAAGAGGUGGGUGAAAUUCCUAGUGUAGAGGUGAAAUUCGUAGAUAUUAGGAAGAACACCGGUGGCGAAGGCGGCCCACUGGUCCGGUACUGACGCUGAGGUGCGAAAGCGUGGGGAGCAAACAGG
rnacentral:rRNA from 1 species